GGAGAUGGACUAGGGAUUAUAUAUUCUUCAAGAGUUGAGAGAUGAAUUUAGGAAGGCUUCAUUUCUCUGCUAGAAAGAUAAAAAGCAGAAGAUGGCUUCUAAAAGAUUGCUGUGGGGGCCAGCCCGGUGGCGCAAG